rnacentral:rRNA from 1 species
UACCAGCACCCCGAGUGGUCGGGACGUUUAUUGGGCCUAAAGGCAUCCGUAGCCGGUUCUACAAGUCUUCCGUUAAAUCCAACUGCUUAACAGGUGGGCUGCGGAAGAUACUAUAGAGCUAGGAGGCGGGAGAGGCAAGCGGUACUCGAUGGGUAGGGGUAAAAUCCGUUGAUCCAUUGAAGACCACCAGUGGCGAAGGCGGCUUGCCAGAACGCGCUCGACGGUGAGGGAUGAAAGCUGGGGGAGCAAACCGGG